rnacentral:tRNA from 1 species
UCCCUUGUGGCUCAGCUGGUAAAGAAUCUGCCUGCAAUGCGGAAGACCUGGGUUCUAUCUCUGCUUGGGAA